rnacentral:RNase_P_RNA from 2 species
ACAGCAGGCCGCUCUAUCGUCGCAACGCAAGUUGGGGAGGAAAGUCCGGACACCAUAGGAUAACAUAGCGGCUAACGGCCGUCGGUUCGCUUUCGCGAAAGCGAGAACGAAUUAGGACCAGUGCAACAGAAAGAAUGUACAGGUAAUGCUGUAGUGAAACCAGGUAAACUCUAUGUGGUGAAAUGUCGCGUAAAUUAGAGUUUGAGCGCGAUCCGCGCGAUUCUGAAGGGUAGGCAGUUUGAGGUCGUGAGUAAUUGCGAUCCUAGAUAAAUGAUAGAGAGUCUCGUUUGUGCGAGGCUACAGGAUCCGGCUUAUAGGCCUGCUUUUUUU